GUAUGUACCUGGCAUUGCAUUGCUAACUUCAGUCAUUGACUCAUCAAGAUACACAAAUAUUUGGAACUUUCAAAAUUUUUUAAUUCUUCGUCCAAGCUACAAAAAAAUUUCAUUUCGAACGUAUAAAUUAUUAGCAAGUAAUUCUUCCAAGGUUACCAAAAAUCUAUUUUUAAUCUAAAUCUGUUUUUAUAUCAUUUACAAGACAACGUUUCUGGAUUCUAACCUACUUCCAUUGGUAAAAUAGUUCGAAAACGUGAGAAAGCUGAUUUUUUCUAAGUGUCUCAAGAGAGAGAAUCCGGCAGCGAGCGAUAUUUUCCCACUGUUCCAAACGCAUGCGAUCAGGAGCUCACGUGUCGGGAGAGUAUCGGAACUAUGCGCAAACUACAGGGCGACGAUGAUGACUGCUGCCGAUACAGAGAAAAACUCGCCGCAGAAAAACGAAGAGCCAACAGGGCAUCGCGGAACGCGAGGAAAAACGUGACGGUCUACUACUGCAGUGGAAUGAGAGAUGUCGGUGCUGGUGCGUUUGGUCACGCGCAAUCGAGAUUAUCGGGAUGCUGUCGCGCAGGAAAGAUAUGCAAAAGAAUAAAGAAACCUGAGAAAAUGUCGUCAGGUUUGGAUCAAGCUUUGACCAGGAUGAAGCCAUCCUUUGACGAAAGAAGCAAAUAUGCCAAUGUCAAGCAUAUUCUUUGCAUUCUGGAUACGGAAGAAGCUGUGAGACUGAAGAAAGUUAAAGAACUGAGGGAGGCCAUGGAGAAAAAAGAAAAUUGCGAUGAACCUGAUAGUGAAAGCGAAGUAAGGAAAAAAGCAGCAAUUGGAAAUUCUGAAGCGGAUAAAAAAGGUGGAGGGUCCAAUAGCGAUAAUGUAAAGGGUAAAGGAGCCCAAGGGAAGGAUGAAGACACCGUUGGAGGAAAGAAGAGCAAACCGGUUUUGCGCGAUAGGAAUAGAGAUGGGAAAACCCAGAGGAAAACCAACAUGGUUAAGGAUGAAUUUGCCAGUGCAGAGGGUGAGCGCGAAUGCAACUCGAUAUGUUCAAUUGAUAGCGAAGUAGACGUUGGAGUGAAACGCUCCGUAAUAAAAAUUAACGGCAAAAACUUGACGAAAUCCUUACCGGUUCUACAUUUUUUUUCGUCGUCCAAACAGUCGAGUAAUAAAUAGUAGUUCUGAGUCAAUUCUCAAGAAGGUUACACAAUAAAAAAUUUGACCGGGCAUUAAUAUUAAAAACUGGUUCUACGAUAUUAAGCCAGUGAACCUAUAGUCGAGCGGUGGAUGUCAAAGAAUUUCUGGUCUCUAUCAUGCAUUUAGGAAAAUUUUUGCCUGUUAUGACUUUCAUGUUUAGUAAGGUCUGUGGUCUAUAUUGACUUGACAAAAUUUUCAUCGAUUAAAACAGGCGAUGGAUUUCCGGAAAAAGUUGUCGCAUUGCAUGAGUUGGCACUUGGAAAAUUGUUUGUACAUAAUUUUAAUGACUGAUGAAUUCGCAUUAACCAAGGAAGAAAUAAGCUCUAUUGAAAAGAAUCAUAAACAACCUGAUUCGCAAAAGGAUGAUCAACAAAAAGAAAUGGAUUCAGCUGAUGAUGUGAUAAACAAGCCAUAAAGACUAUAGUGAAAAAAUACACAUUCCUAUUUUUUAAUAUUGUAUUUAUAACCUAAACUAAACAAAAUUGAUAACGUAUGAGUAUAUCAACGAUUUUAAAAAAAUGAAUUACCCAAAAUUAAAUGAAUAUCCAAAAGCA